rnacentral:rRNA from 1 species
GCGGCGGACGGGUGAGUAACACGUGGGCAACCUGCCCGCAAGACCGGGAUAACUCCGGGAAACCGGAGCUAAUACCGGAUAACACCGAAGACCGCAUGGUUUUCGGUUGAAAGGCGGCCUUUGGGCUGUCACUUGCGGAUGGGCCCGCGGCGCAUUAGCUAGUUGGUGAGGUAACGGCUCACCAAGGCGACGAUGCGUAGCCGGCCUGAGAGGGUGACCGGCCACACUGGGACUGAGACACGGCCCAGACUCCUACGGGAGGCAGCAGUAGGGAAUCUUCCGCAAUGGGCGAAAGCCUGACGGAGCGACGCCGCGUGAGCGAAGAAGGCCUUCGGGUCGUAAAGCUCUGUUGUGAGGGACGAAGGAGCGCCGUUCGAAGAGGGCGGCGCGGUGACGGUACCUCACAAGAAACCCCCGGCUAACUACUUGCCACCACCCGCGGUAAUAC